CCUACGGGUGGCAGCAGUGGGGAAUAUUGCGCAAUGGGCGAAAGCCUGACGCAGCGACGCCGCGUGAGGGAUGACGGUCUUCGGAUCGUAAACCUCUGUCAGCAGGGAAGCACGGUCACUGUGCUAAUCAGCAGUGAAUUGACGGUACCUGCAAAGGAAGCACCGGCUAACUCCGUGCCAGCAGCCGCGGUAAUACGGAGGGUGCGAGCGUUAAUCGGAAUUACUGGGCGUAAAGCUCUCGUAGGCGGUAUGUCAAGUCAAGGGUGAAAUCCCCGCGCUCAACGUGGGAACUGCCUUUGAAACUGGCAAACUGGAGUGUGUGAGAGGAUAGUGGAAUUCCAGGUGUAGGAGUGAAAUGCGUAGAUAUCUGGAGGAACAUCAGUGGCGAAGGCGACUAUCUGGCACAUAACUGACGCUGAGGAGCGAAAGCGUGGGUAGCAAACAGGAUUAGAUACCCUAGUAGUC
rnacentral:rRNA from 1 species